GACUCAUGAGACUCUCACAGAAACCUCUCCUGCCUCGUUUUUUUCAGAAAAUGAGAAACAAUAUUACAACACCGUAAAUAAUGAUAGUGGCAUUGACAUACAAUUUCAUGUUAUGUUUACCAGACUUGGCAUACAAAAUUAUAUCUUGUUAAAUGUUACAAGAUAUAAUUUUGUAUGCCGAGUCUGGUAAUCCCAGGGAAGUAGGCUACAUGUAAAUGCUGACAACUAAACACUGUCUUAAAGGGGUCAUAUGAUGCGAUUUCAAGUUUUUCUUUCACUUUGGAGUGUUACAAGCUCUUGUUGCAUAAAGAAGAUCUGUAAAGUUGACAAGACUAAAGUCUCAAACCCAAAGAGAUAUUCCUUAUAAAAGUUAAGACUUGUCCAUGGCCUCCUAAAACGCCUUGUUUAGUCACGACCCCACAUGUCUACAUCAUGAUGUAGGAAGAUUUACAUAACGCCACCCAAAAUGUUCAUGCAAUGAAAGAAGGCAUUGAUUCUCGCUGUUGCCGCUGGUGCCAUGUCGCGGAGAUGCUGUUUCGCUGUGAAAGCGAAAAUACUUUCCUUGGCCUUCCAAAAGAGGACACAACUAGGAAUCGGUCGCUGUGAUUUUGCCAGGUAAGACAUGUUCCUGGAUCAACAUCUUUUGAUGAUCCUGGAUCAACAUUAUUGUCCCAAUCCCUACCCCUAAACCUAAACUUACCCAUAAUUUAUUCAUAAAAUCAGUGGGAGUGUUUCCUGAUCCUGAGAGAGAAGACUAAAAUGCCGGCUGUUUUGACUCACCGUCUAGUGCAUGGAUACUGGACCACAUCAACCUCUGGAUAUUGCAAUGUGUCAAUGACUGUUAUACAACACACUAACCUUAAGCUAAGUAUGCUCACAUUUAAAAGCGACUCAUAAAAACACCAAAGACUAUUAAAACAACUCAACUUGCAGAAGCUUUUCUUUUGCAUGCUAAAAUGCCUUUGCAUGUCAUUCUGCAAGCGCAGUUCACCUUUCAAAUAUUUGUAUAAUUUCAAGCUGCUUGCUAUGUCAAGCUUUUCCCUUUCAUUUGACUAGCUGUGUCAGAGGUUAUCCACAGUGCCCUUGGCUGUGUUUUCAGAACGAAACACUCUUGCCAACACAUUACUCCCACUGGCGAUAGUGAAAAGCAAAUAGCUGCUGCCAGUGGUCAAACAUGACCCAGGCUCGUUUUCAUGGACAUUGAUAUGCAGCAACUGAACUUAAGUGGCAAAUUUUGUACUCUCUUGUGUUUUUAUCUCACUGAUAGUGAGCCUGUUAAUGAUCAACGAAACAUAGGCGUCUGGGAUUGAACCGAAAAUGAAAAGCAAGUUGAUCCCUAUGCACACUUUAUAGCAUUUCUGCUUUCUAGUUUGUAUCGUAUCAGUCAGACAGUUUGCAAGGAAUAAUAAGCAAAAUAAUAAAACUUGACUGUUUUGAUGUUUGGAGAAGAUA
ensembl:lncRNA